UUAAUAAGCGGAGGAAAAGAAACUAACAAGGAUUCCCUCAGUAACGGCGAGUGAAGCGGGAAGAGCUCAAAUUUGAAAUCUCCGAUGGUGGCAUCGGCGACUUGUAGUUGCGAGAAGUGCUUUCUCGGCGGAUCGGCCCUGCCUAAGUUGCUUGGAACUGCACGUCGCAGAGGGUGAGAACCCCGUCCGCGGCAAGGGACCGGCCGCCCACGAUGCGCUUUCUAAGAGUCGGGUUGUUUGGGAAUGCAGCCCAAAAUGGGUGGUAAACUCCAUCUAAAGCUAAAUACUGGCGUGAGACCGAUAGCGA
rnacentral:rRNA from 1 species